rnacentral:lncRNA from 1 species
UGGAGGCCGGGGCUGGUGGUGCCUGCCACUCAGGGUGGGCGAGGGAGGAGGCCGGCCUUUCCAGGACCCCCCCCCAUUCCUCUCCCUGGUGAUGCACACACACAGGGGUGUGUUUGCUUUUCAAGAAGGGCUCUGAGGCCAGGCCAGACUGUCACCUGCCACAGGGCACGCCUAGGAGCCAGGCUGGAGGCUGGCCGUUGCUCUCCAGGGGCUCUUUCCAGAGUCCUCAGCCUUGACCUUGAAUGCUGGUGACAGCAUCGCCCUUGUAUUUGACUUGACGUCAGUGGAUUCCUUUGAACCAGUGACCUCUCCAUGUCCAUUGUUAAGUUUAGGUCUCCAAGGAGAGUGAUAAUACCUCUCCCUCCCUCCCUCCCUCCCUCCUUUUAUGGUACUGGGGAAUCAACCCAGGGGUGCUCUAUCACUGAGCUGUACCCCAGCCCCCUUUUCUCUCUCUCUCUCUUUUUUUUUAUUCGUUGUUCAAAACAUUACAAAGCUCUUGACAUAUCAUAUUUCAUACAUUUGAUUCAAGUGCAGCCCCCCUUUCUCAAUCUCUUGCCUUAUUUUCAUUGCGAUUGGGGUUGGGAAGAACGUAAAUGUCCUGAGAAACAGUAGGAAGGAGUUUUAUGGAAAGAUAAGGAGCAAAGUCGUCCCUCAUGAACUCAAGAUGGCUGCCACAGUCCCAGUCCUCAAGGGCAGAGUUCCAAAGAGUGAGACUUUCUUCUGCUCUCUCUUUUAUCAGAGAUUAAGAUCCCAGAACACCUGUACAUCACGAGAACAGGGUCUCAGCUCCUAGCCUACCAAGGGCAAAGGGAACAAGAUGCUGGUGGAGUGGGACCAACACUGGUUCCUUUUGGGGCGGGUGGGAUGAGCAUGAACCCGAUAAACAGGGCUUUCUCUAGCGGUAAGUGUCCCCACGGAGCUUCCCCCCCCA